rnacentral:lncRNA from 1 species
UGUGAGGUCAGGUGAGGUCUCUGUGAGUUCAGAGAUGGUCUCUGUGAUGUUGGAGGAGGUCUUUAUUAGGUCAGCCGAGGUCUCUGUGAGAUCAGGGGUUUCUGUUAGGUCAGGGGAGUUCUCUGUGUGCUCAGAGAGGGUCUCAGGAGGUCAGACAGCACGUCUAUGAGGUCAGGGUGUUACCAAAAUCAAAGUGGGUUCCCUCCUUGCGACUUAAGUUAGCAUGAGCACUCUUAAGGAGCCCCCAAGCUAUUUGUUUGGGAACCUAAAUCUUCCCCCCUCGGUUUGUCAUCCAGCCCUUGGCUAUCGGGGACCACUGCUAACGCUGUGUAAUAGCUUCCCUUACUUCAUCCAGGCUGUUGUCAACUUGGAGAAUUCUGUGGUUGAAAUGGAGACCCUUCAAGCUCUCUAUGAGACGAUAAACCAGCGAUCUCCACUGAGCUCCUUGGAAGAUGGAAGUUAAAAUGAUUAACACUGCUGCAUUGGAAAUUAAUGACAUGAGAUUGUUCUUACACGUUUUUCACCGUAUUUUACAUAUGAGAUUUCAGUUUGAUUUGUGAUAUCCAAAAAGUGGACUUACUGGAGAACACUUAACAUUUUUGUGUCCACUAUUGGCUUGUAGAGCUUAUGGCUCUUUACUGUUGCAGGGAGGGUCUCUGAGCACUUCUCUCUACCAUUUGUUUUUAGUUUUGCAUGGUCUGGCCAUAUAUACUUUCGUUGGGCAGCUAAAGUAUGCAUAAAAUUUUGUGAGAAUUAUUUUAUAAUUAAAUUAUUAAGAACUUAAUUAAAUAUAACUAAAAUUAUUAUAUAAGAAUUCAAUGCUAACAUUAGGUGAAAUAAGAGUUUAACACAGAAAAUAAGGUACUUUAAGUCCCCUCUCCUAAAAAGGGGGGGUAAAUCACAAAGGCUUUGGUGUUUUCAGAGAAGAUAUGGCAUCCAUUUGUAGCUAGGAGCAUAAACAUUGCUUGAAUGUGUGAAAAUUAGUAAAAGGAAACCUCAUUUAAAUGGAAGUGGGAGGCAAGAAAGGGGGAGCCCUCCCACACUACCACUCACUGUCAGUUACAGACCCCAACAGGAAGAAUCCUCAGCUAUGGAUCGCAACAGGAAGAAACACACAUUGCAAGUAGACACUACUUUAUACUCCAGCAGGAGGAAGGAAGAUUUCCUUCCUUGCCCAGCAACUCAGCCAAGAAGAAAUCGUCACCACGCUGUACUCCUGCUUUCCUGCAGUGGACUUUCAUUCAAAAAAACCCCCUCCUUUUUUUCUAUAAAGUAACGUUCCUCUCUUUUGCUUGUUGGACUUGCCUAUGGAUUUUGCUAUAGCUUGCUUGUCCUAAAUUGCAAUUCCUCUGCUAUUCCUGAGUAAACACAUUUAGC